AAAUAUAUUUUUAACGUCAGUGCCACAUUUUUAAUCAUAUGAAAUUUGCUUCGUGGUUGACAGUGAUGCCGAUCCAUUCUUUCUCCACAAAGUAAUGAGUACCUGUUUGACAGUGCUCACUCUUAGCUACAAGACAUACCUUCGGUUUAUUUAAAUCAACUUGUCAGUCUAGUUCAGAGAUCCUUUGCGGUAAUCUGACAGCCAUGGAUUGUUAGUUUAGGUGUAGUUUCCAUGUAAGUUCUGGCUUGAAGUUAUGUUUUUGUUUUGUAUUUUGUCAGUCUGAUGCUUUGAAAAGCAGCAAGCAAAAGCGCACAUCUUGAAGGAGUUCAGUCAGCAGUGGUGUAUGGUAUCAGUAAGCUCUAAAGGUUUAGAAAGGCAUAAUGUACACAAAGCAUGUUUAGGGUUGACUGCAGGAGAUGCCUAAUGUGGGGGAAGGGUAGCCCCAGACUUUUGGUGUUUGGAUUUGGGUUAUAAAUAUAAAAAUGCUCAGUGUCAUACAUGAAGUGUGUAAAGGUUUGAGGCAUUUAGCUGAGGAAACUUUGGUUCUGUGCUAUAGUUAUGCUUUAUGCAGUAGAUAAACUGAUGAGAAAGUUAAUGUUUAGAACAUACUACAUCUACCCCAAAUGUUAACAAAGCUUCAAGAAUUCACUUUGAUUGUGCACUUUUAAUCUCCCUGGGGAAUGUAUUGGCCAAACCAUGACUUUAAGUUUUAAGGCACAACUUGUAUCUCUGUAGUAAGUAUAGUACCAUUCAAUAAAUAACAGUUUGUGACAAAACUCAUCAGUCUUGUUUCUGAUUUCUAGCAGAACAGUCCUGUCCACCUGGAUGUAUCUGUUGCAGCUGGCAUGCUUAGGAGUAAACAGGCAACAUUUUUCCAGUGGUGGUUGAGCAAACAUCUGCCUUGUGAUGCAGAACCUCGGUCUGUGUGGAACUGCUACAUUUCUGUACAAAUCAAGGUCAGAUGUAUGCUUCCUACAAAGCUUUAUUAUCCAAGUGGUUGAAAACUGCUCUGGCGAGAGUAUAGUAAGAAGUUGUGAAGUAUUUAGUGAGCAUGUAUAAAGCAAAAAAAAGUCCCUAUAGAUGUGAACGCAAGUUUGGUCAGUAAUAGCUGGCUUGUAAAAAGGAAAGGUCAAACCUUCUUUCCUAGCCCUGGAGAAAAUUGUGGUUUUACUGUUAAUUAUCAGCAAUAAGUUCCUUUAUUAUAUUGUGUGAGAGAGAACAAAGAAAAAAAGGAAACGCUAAAAGUACCUGCUAAUGCUAAAUGCUUACAUACAAUUUUCCCAGCUCUGGCACAUUCCUGUCCCCAUGUUCAGAAAAAUGGAUAUUUAGUUACUCAGACAUAACUGUGCAUGCUGUCGUUCAUAUCUGAGACAAAGACAUGAAGUUUAGUAAUCCUUAGGAAGACUGAAUUAGUACAUUAUGUCCAGUGAAGUUCAGUAAUAGUUUCUUAAAUUUGGUAUGGGCAUGUUUUGCAGCAGUAUCUCUUCUAGCUACGAAUAACCAUGAAAAUAUUUGACAGGGUUUGCUGCCAUAAUUUUUUGGGGGGGUUGGAAAUCUCAGAAUUGGUUUUCCUGUCAGCUCUGCAGCUAACAAUAGUAUUCACUUUGUAGUUGUUUUUUCCACUAACGCU